GGGGAUUUAGCUCAAUGGUAGAGCCCUUGCCUAGCAAGCACAAGGCCCUGGGUUCGGUCCCCAGCUCCG
rnacentral:tRNA from 1 species